rnacentral:lncRNA from 1 species
UACUUAAAUUUUAGAUUUAUUAGAAAUCGAAAAAUAUAUAUAUAAAUAAUUAAUUUAUAUUAAUAAAGAACAAUAUAGGAUAUUGUAGACAUUUUUUAAUAUAAUAUAAUAUAUAAAUUUACAAAACAUUUUAUUCUAAAUUUUUGAAUAAAUAUGAAUUACAAAUUUUAUUGAUUUAAAAUAAAUUAAAAUAAUUAUUACAUGCAUUCGCACUUACGCUCAACUAGUAUAUAUAAAAGUAAGUAUUUCAAAUUUCAGUCUAUCGACAGACCCAUUUUUUGGCGAAAAAAAAAAAAAUUGAUUCCUCUUACUUACGUAAUGAAACAAACUUUUAAUUUUUAUUUAUCUCUAAAAUAGAAAAAAAUAUAUUUAUCCAAAUUUUUGCCAGCCGAAAGAUCUCUACUGUGAAUCUAUAUUUUAAUUCGAAAUUUGUUUAAUUUUUUUUAUCUCUAAAAUAGAAAAAAAUUAUGUUUAUCCAAAUUUUUCCUAGAAUAUCUUCUUUAAAUGUCACGCCCCGGGGUCCCUUUAGGGUAAAAACACAGCGAAAAUUUUUUUUUUUUUUUUUUUUUGAAAAGCCUGACCCCAGAGUAUGCCAGAUCCGCCACAAACACAGGGAAUCCACUGUUCACACGGACAGAGUCUCCCCUGUAUUUGCACGGCGUCACACAAGUAUAAGAAGUAACCCAGGUACAACCACAACCAAAUGAAUAUACAAAUAACCAACAAAUAUAUAUUCAUACACCAUUCACAUCACAGGUUCACAUUUAUAUAUUCGAUAUUUAAACAUAAAUCCACAUCUAUCAGUAAAAAUGUUUCUAACCACAGAAACAGAUUUUGAAAUACUACGAUGCAAAAACCACAUAAAACCUUUGAAAACUGUUUCCUACACGGAAACCUUUAUUCUUUAAAAACGCUACCACGAGGGGUAGAAAACCUUUCAUUUCAUAAAAUCCAGAAAUCCAUUUAUUACAUUCACGAAAAUUCAUAUUUUCGAAUGUAAACAAACACUGAACCACAUGAACCAACUAAACUAUACAUCAACCGAAGUAAGAAGGGUAAGAAACUAAACCGAAAUAACCUGGGUCGGAAGCUCUAUCGACCGCUACACGCGUACCUCACGCCUCGUCUCAACCCUCACCGCCCGCGAUACCUGAAAAAUGGUGGGGGAGGUGAGAACAUGUAAACAUGUCUCCCCUCCCAGUGGGUACCGCAAGCCGAUGAAGGCGAGGAGUACUCACCAGAUCAGGGAGAACUAUACAACAACACGGGUCAGUGGAAAUAUAGUAGCAACAAUAAUAAACGAAAGAGAUAUGUAAGGAGCUGACAAGUAUAAAUGCAGGUAAAUAAAACAAUAGCUACAAUAAACAGAUAAGGAUGUACUGGAAAUAAACACUACCGCUACUGUAUGCAUGCGUCAACUGACGAUAAGCUCAAAAGUACCCAAUCUCGCUGCCCUAUUGGUCCGAAGACCUCAGGCCCAUGCCACACUGCUCAACCUGCACCUGACCCUCGCAAUGAAGCCCCUGGGUCAGAAGCAUAGUACCUGACCCUCGCAAUGAAGCCCCUGGGUCAGAAGCAUAUACCCUCGCAAUAAAGCCCCUGGGCUCACGGGUUGGCAAUCCAACCACUUUUCCGGAAAAGAACACCCUCUUGCGGUGGAUCAGACCGCUGGUGUUCGUGAAAUGCGUACCUGCAGUGGCGAUCAAUGUAGUAUGCUCAAAG